UCGCCCUUAGAGUUUGAUCCUGGCUCAAGACGAACGCUGGCGGCGCGCCUAACACAUGCAAGUCGAACGGAAUCAAGAGGAGCUUGCUUUUCUUGAUUUAGUGGCGAACGGGUGAGUAACGCGUGAGUAACCUGCCCUGGAGUGGGGGACAACAGUUGGAAACGACUGCUAAUACCGCAUAAGACCACGGUACCGCAUGGUACUGGGGGAAAAAGAUUUAUUCGCUUCAGGAUGGACUCGCGUCCAAUUAGCUAGUUGGUGAGGUAACAGCCCACCAAGGCGACGAUUGGUAGCCGGACUGAGAGGUUGAACGGCCACAUUGGGACUGAGACACGGCCCAGACUCCUACGGGAGGCAGCAGUGGGGGAUAUUGCACAAUGGGGGAAACCCUGAUGCAGCGACGCCGCGUGGAGGAAGAAGGUUUUCGGAUUGUAAACUCCUGUCGUUAGGGACGAUAAUGACGGUACCUAACAAGAAAGCACCGGCUAACUACGUGCCAGCAGCCGCGGUAAAACGUAGGGUGCAAGCGUUGUCCGGAAUUACUGGGUGUAAAGGGAGCGCAGGCGGACCGGCAAGUUGGAAGUGAAAUCCAUGGGCUCAACCCGUGAAUUGCUUUCAAAACUGCUGGCCUUGAGUAGUGCAGAGGUAGGUGGAAUUCCCGGUGUAGCGGUGGAAUGCGUAGAUAUCGGGAGGAACACCAGUGGCGAAGGCGACCUACUGGGCACCAACUGACGCUGAGGCUCGAAAGCAUGGGUAGCAAACAGGAUUAGAUACCCUGGUAGUCCAUGCCGUAAACGAUGAAUUACUAGGUGUGGGAGGAUUGACCCCUUCAGUGCCGCAGUUAACACAAUAAGUAAUCCACCUGGGGAGUACGACCGCAAGGUUGAAACUCAAAGGAAUUGACGGGGGCCCGCACAAGCAGUGGAGUAUGUGGUUUAAUUCGAAGCAACGCGAAGAACCUUACCAGGUCUUGACAUCCGAUGCAUAGUGCAGAGAUGCAUGAAGUCCUUCGGGACAUCGAGACAGGUGGUGCAUGGUUGUCGUCAGCUCGUGUCGUGAGAUGUUGGGUUAAGUCCCGCAACGAGCGCAACCCUUAUUGCCAGUUACUACGCAAGAGGACUCUGGCGAGACUGCCGUUGACAAAACGGAGGAAGGUGGGGAUGACGUCAAAUCAUCAUGCCCUUUAUGACCUGGGCUACACACGUACUACAAUGGCGUUUAACAAAGAGAAGCAAGACCGCGAGGUGGAGCAAAACUCAGAAACAACGUCUCAGUUCAGAUUGCAGGCUGCAACUCGCCUGCAUGAAGUCGGAAUUGCUAGUAAUCGCGGAUCAGCAUGCCGCGGUGAAUACGUUCCCGGGCCUUGUACA
rnacentral:rRNA from 1 species